AUACACAUGCUGACUAGGUUCCUCUUUCAUGGGGGCCUGGUGUGUAGAAGCCACAAAUGGCAGCUUCUCUUGUGUGUAUACAGCCUGCCGCAUGAAUGGGUUCCCACAAGAGGCUUGAAACAGUU
rnacentral:snoRNA from 1 species